rnacentral:rRNA from 1 species
ACGCUAGCUACAGGCUUAACACAUGCAAGUCGAGGGGCAGCAUGGUCUUAGCUUGCUAAGACUGAUGGCGACCGGCGCACGGGUGAGUAACACGUAUCCAACCUGCCGUCUACUCUUGGACAGCCUUCUGAAAGGAAGAUUAAUACAAGAUGGCAUCAUGAGUCCGCAUGUUCACAUGAUUAAAGGUAUUCCGGUAGACGAUGGGGAUGCGUUCCAUUAGAUAGUAGGCGGGGUAACGGCCCACCUAGUCUUCGAUGGAUAGGGGUUCUGAGAGGAAGGUCCCCCACAUUGGAACUGAGACACGGUCUAAACUCCUACGGGAGGCAGCAGUGAGGAAUAUUGGUCAAUGGGCGAGAGCCUGAACCAGCCAAGUAGCGUGAAGGAUGACUGCCCUAUGGGUUGUAAACUUCUUUUAUAAAGGAAUAAAGUCGGGUAUGCAUACCCGUUUGCAUGUACUUUAUGAAUAAGGAUCGGCUAACUCCGUGCCAGCAGCCGCGGUAAUACGGAGGAUCCGAGCGUUAUCCGGAUUUAUUGGGUUUAAAGGGAGCGUAGAUGGAUGUUUAAGUCAGUUGUGAAAGUUUGCGGCUCAACCGUAAAAUUGCAGUUGAUACUGGAUAUCUUGAGUGCAGUUGAGGCAGGCGGAAUUCGUGGUGUAGCGGUGAAAUGCUUAGAUAUCACGAAGAACUCCGAUUGCGAAGGCAGCCUGCUAAGCUGCAACUGACAUUGAGGCUCGAAAGUGUGGGUAUCAAACAGGAUUAGAUACCCUGGUAGUCCACACGGUAAACGAUGAAUACUCGCUGUUUGCGAUAUACUGCAAGCGGCCAAGCGAAAGCGUUAAGUAUUCCACCUGGGGAGUACGCCGGCAACGGUGAAACUCAAAGGAAUUGACGGGAGCCCGCACAAGCGGAGGAACAUGUGGUUUAAUUCGAUGAUACGCGAGGAACCUUACCCGGGCUUAAAUUGCAGAUGAAUUACGGUGAAAGCCGUAAGCCGCAAGGCAUCUGUGAAGGUGCUGCAUGGUUGUCGUCAGCUCGUGCCGUGAGGUGUCGGCUUAAGUGCCAUAACGAGCGCAACCCUUGUUGUCAGUUACUAACAGGUUCCGCUGAGGACUCUGACAAGACUGCCAUCGUAAGAUGUGAGGAAGGUGGGGAUGACGUCAAAUCAGCACGGCCCUUACGUCCGGGGCUACACACGUGUUACAAUGGGGGGUACAGAGGGCCGCUACCACGCGAGUGGAUGCCAAUCCCCAAAACCUCUCUCAGUUCGGACUGGAGUCUGCAACCCGACUCCACGAAGCUGGAUUCGCUAGUAAUCGCGCAUCAGCCACGGCGCGGUGAAUACGUUCCCGGGCCUUGUACACACCGCCCGUCAAGCCAUGGGAGCCGGGGGUACCUGAAGUGCGUAACCGCGAGGAGCGCCCUAGGGUAAAACUGG